rnacentral:rRNA from 1 species
GAUGAACGCUGGCGGCGUGCCUAACACAUGCAAGUCGAACGGAGCUGCUUUGAUGAGAUCUUCGGAUGGAUUUAAAACAGCUUAGUGGCGGACGGGUGAGUAACGCGUGGGUAACCUGCCUCACACUGGGGGAUAACAGUUAGAAAUAGCUGCUAAUACCGCAUAAGCGCACGGUUCCGCAUGGAACAGUGUGAAAAACUCCGGUGGUGUGAGAUGGACCCGCGUCUGAUUAGCCAGUUGGCGGGGUAACGGCCCACCAAAGCGACGAUCAGUAGCCGGCCUGACGAGGGUGAACGGCCACAUUGGGACUGAGACACGGCCCAAACUCCUACGGGAGGCAGCAGUGGGAAUAUUGGCACAAUGGGGGAAACCCUGAUGCAGCGACGCCGCGUGAGUGAAGAAGUAUUUCGGUAUGUAAAGCUCUAUCAGCAGGGAAGAAAGUGACGGUACCUGAAUAGAA